GAUGAACGCUGGCGGCGUGCCUAAUACAUGCAAGUCGAACGAACGGACGAGAAGCUUUCUUCCCUGAUGUUAGCGGCGGACGUGUGAGUAACACGUGUAUACCCUACCUAUAAGACUGGGAUAACUCCGGUAAACCGGAGCUCAUACCGGCUAAUAUUUUGAACCGCAGGGUUCAAGACUGAACGCCGGUCUUGCUGUCACUUAUAGAUGUAGUCGCGCUGCAUUAGGUAGUUGGUAAGGUAACGGCUUACCAAGUCAACGAAGCAUAGCCGACCUGAGAGGGUGAUCGGCCACACUGGAAAUGAGAAACGGUCCAGACUCCUACGGGAGGCAGCAGUAGGGAAUCUUCCACAAUGGGCGAAAGCCUGACGGAGCAACGCCGCGUGAGUGAUGAAGGUCUUCGGAUCGUAAAAUUCUGUUAUUAGGGAAGAAAAUAUGCGUAAGAAAAUGGGGAGAUCUUGACGGUACCGGAAGAGAAAGCCACGGCUAACUACGUG
rnacentral:rRNA from 1 species